rnacentral:snoRNA from 1 species
GUGAUCUUACUUGAACAGGAUCUGUUCUAUAGACUCACACCUCGGUAUCCUUUAGCGUGCACACACACGCC